GAAGAAGCAGCAGCAGCAUUAGGAGCAGCAGGACGACGUAGUUGCUGGUUGUUGUCGUGGCUCGAGGAGCUUAGAGAAAGUCAGUCUUUGUAACUGGAAUGCUUGUAUGUACUUAAAAGUGUUAAUAGCAGCAACAUUUCUGAGGAUUAAAGUGUAGCCGGUAAGGACAGCUAGCUCUCAUGAACAGGUGCGGCACUGCGCGUUAGCUAAACUGCUCUCCACACGUGCGCUGAGACACUGGAGUAGGUCAGCUGCAGAAAAGAAGUUCCCGUGAAGUGAGCCACCUGUGGAUGUGACUUGCAUGGCCAAACUGCUGAAAGGCAAUCAGAGUUCAGGAGGCUGAACAACAUCAGUGGUGCUCCAGGAGACUGGACUCUGAUCAGUUAUCAAUAAAGAAACUGGUGCAGUUCAAGGUGUUCAAGCUCAUGCAAAGCUCUCCUGAACAGACUGACAGCUUUGAAGACUGCUGUCGCUCAAUAAGAAGGCCCAACAUCUGACAAACAGGUGAACUGUGAGUUCUUGACCUUUUGUGUACAAGGCUGAGACCGGGGGAACUGUCAACAACAGGUGUGGUUUCCGACGUGGGGGCCGUUAACAACAGGUGCGACCAGUCACAGGUCUCAGUGAAGAACCAAAACUCUUUAGUGGUCGGGGUCAAUGAACUCAAGAAAGGAAAAAAAACUGAUUGCAAUGUUUCAAUUCCAGUCUUAGCAUUUUCAGUAGUCUGACUCAAUCUGUUUUGAUCAUUUAUCAUUGGGAGGCCACAGGAGUAUAAUCUGUUAAUUGUCUCAUGUAAUACUAAUUAUUGGUUUUUCUUGACAUGAGGUCUAAAGAGGGACACGUCCUGAUUUCAGUUAGUUGACCACAGCUAACAAUUUUGCUGCGAGCUCUGUGUAAAGUCAACAAGGGAUGUGUGUGAGUAUGACCUCUGACUCGAGAAUUUACCACAACAUUUCAGACUCGCUUGACUUUAGAUUUUGACUGACUGCACUACAUGGUGUUAUAUUCAGAACAAGACCAAUAGAAAUACACAAAAUACAAAAAAAAAGAAGUCACAAAAGUAAAAUAAUCAAGGUUUUUCUUACUAACACCAGAUUAAGUCCAAUUAGCUUUCCUUUCUUUUCAAAUUUAGAGGUCAAUAAUAGUUGUAAUUUUAGUCAUAUAUACAUAUAUACGUGUGAUAAAUGAUUGGUUGAAUUGCCAUAGGCAAUGUAUUAUUAGAUCUUGGAAUCACAAUUUUUAUGUAUGUUUUUAUCUUUAUGUUUGUUUCUAUUUUUUGUCUUUAGAGUUUUCUGUUUUUAUUUUAUUCCAAAGUACACACUCCACAUGUACACAUAUGAUUUCCAGUAUUUAAGCUUUUAUAAAUGACUUGACCUAUAAACAUAUUUCUCAUGAGUCAACAUGAAUAAUUCAUGUUAAGUCAUUUGUGUGCAUCACACUCAGGUGGACAGGUAUGGUAGCAUCUUAAAAGGCAGUCUAUUUGUCCUUCUGUUAGCACAGGUGAACAGUGCAAACAACUGAUCCAUGUUUUUAAUUAUUCCAGCUGGCUUCAGCUUGGAUGGGUGGGUGGGGGGGCUGCCACUUUCCCUCUUCGUGCAGUCCUUUAAAAUUGUAUUUGCUUCUCCUAAAGGAAUAAUGAAAAACAAAUUUAAUGGGUUGCAAUUGGUGUAUGAUUUUUCUCUUUUUGCCAUUUAAAUAUAUUGUUGCAUUUCUACAUCAGCACAGAUGUUUGAGCCUGCUUGGUUUUAAUAUGAAUACAUAUACAGCUGGAGACUUGACUCUUUACUAUACACGUGAUUUACAUAAAAUAAAAACAAAGCAUGGAUAAAAGAUC